GACGAACGCUGGCGGCGUGCUUAACACAUGCAAGUCGAACGGUAAGGCUCCAGCUUGCUGGGGUACACGAGUGGCGAACGGGUGAGUAACACGUGGGUGACCUGCCCUGCACUUCGGGAUAAGCCUGGGAAACUGGGUCUAAUACCGGAUAGGACCAUGGUGUGGAUACUGUGGUGGAAAGUUUUUUCGGUGUGGGAUGGGCCCGCGGCCUAUCAGCUUGUUGGUGGGGUAAUGGCCUACCAAGGCGGCGACGGGUAGCCGGCCUGAGAGGGUGGACGGCCGCAUUGGGACUGAGACACGGCCCAGACUCCUACGGGAGGCAGCAGUGGGGAAUAUUGCACAAUGGGCGGAAGCCUGAUGCAGCGACGCCGCGUGGGGGAUGACGGCCUUCGGGUUGUAAACUCCUUUCACCAUCGACGAAGGGUUUCUGACGGUAGAUGGAGAAGAAGCACCGGCUAACUACGUG
rnacentral:rRNA from 1 species